rnacentral:rRNA from 1 species
CUACGGGACGCUGCAGUGGGGAAUAUUGGACAAUGGGCGAAAGCCUGAUCCAGCAAUGCCGCGUGAGUGAUGAAGGCCUUAGGGUUGUAAAGCUCUUUUACCAGGGAUGAUAAUGACAGUACCUGGAGAAUAAGCUCCGGCUAACUCCGUGCCAGCAGCCGCGGUAAUACGGAGGGAGCUAGCGUUGUUCGGAAUUACUGGGCGUAAAGCGUGCGUAGGCGGCUAUUCAAGUCAGAGGUGAAAGCCUGGAGCUCAACUCCAGAACUGCCUUUGAAACUAGAUAGCUAGAAUCUUGGAGAGGUGAGUGGAAUUCCGAGUGUAGAGGUGAAAUUCGUAGAUAUUCGGAAGAACACCAGUGGCGAAGGCGACUCACUGGACAAGUAUUGACGCUGAGGUACGAAAGCGUGGGGAGCAAACAGGAUUAGAUACCCGGGUAGUC